rnacentral:rRNA from 1 species
AUUGAACGCUGGCGGCAGGCCUAACACAUGCAAGUCGAACGAGUGGCGGACGGGUGAGUAAUGUCUGGGAAACUGCCUGAUGGAGGGGGAUAACUACUGGAAACGGUAGCCACUACCGCAUACCAUCCGAUGUUCCCACAUGGGUUUAGCUAGUUGGUGGGGUAACGGCUCACCAAGGCGACGAUCCCUAGCUGGUCUGAGAGGAGGACCAGCCACACUGGAACGGAGACACGGUCCAGACGCAUACGUGAGGCAGCAGUGGGGAAUAGUGCACAAUGGGGGAAAGCCUGAUGCAGCCAUGCCGCGUGUAUGAAGAAGGCCUUCGGGUUGUAAAGUACUUUAAGCGGGGAGGCGUUACCCGAAGAAGAAGCAACGGCUAACUCCGUGCCAGCAGCCGCGGUAAUUC